rnacentral:rRNA from 1 species
ACCGGCAAACGGGUGCGUAACGUACACAACCAACCCCCGUCCGGGGGACAGGCCGCCGAAAGGCGGAUUAACCCCCCUGGAACGCGUGUCCCGCAUGGGAUGCGCGUCAAACCCCGGGGACGGGGACGGGUGUGCACGAUUAGCUAGUUGGCGGGGCAACGGCCCACCAAGGCGACGAUCGUUAGCUGAUGUGAGCAUGGUCAGCCACACGGGCACUGAGACACGGGCCCGACUCCUACGGGAGGCAGCAGAGGAAUAUUGGUCAAUGGGCGCAGGCCUGAACCAGCCAUGCCGCGUGGAGGACGAAGGCUCCGGGUCGUAAACUCCUUUUACCCGGGACGAAAAAAGCCCUUUUGAGGGCACUUGAGUACCGGGGGAAUAAGCACCGGCUAACUCCGUGCCAGCAGCCGCGGUAAUACGGAGGGCGAGCGUUAUCCGGAUUCACUGGGUUUAAAGGGUGCGCAGGCGGGCUUUUAAGUCAGCUGAAACCCGCGGGCUCAACCCGCGGACUGCCGAUGAUACUAGGGGCCUUGGAUGUCGCAGGGCAGCGGAAUGGGGCAUGUAGCGGUGAAAUGCAUAGAUAUGCCCCGGAACACCGAGCGGAGGCAGCUGCCUAAAGGACGAUCGACGCUGAGGCACGAAAGCGUGGGUAGCGAA